rnacentral:rRNA from 1 species
CCUAGUAACGGCGAGUGAGCGGCACAGCUCAAAUUUGAAAGCUAGCCUUCGGGUUCGCAUUGUAAUUUGUAGAGGAUGCUUUGGGGUGGCCGCCUGUCUAAGUUCCUUGGAACAGGACGUCAUAGAGGGUGAGAAUCCCGUAUGUGACAGGAAAUGGCGCCCUAUGUAAAGCUCCUUCGACGAGUCGAGUUGUUUGGGAAUGCAGCUCUAAAUGGGAGGUAAAUUUCUUCUAAAGCUAAAUACCGGCGAGAGACCGAUAGCGCACAAGUAGAGUGAUCGAAAGAUGAAAAGCACUUUGGAAAGAGAGUUAAAAAGCACGUGAAAUUGUUGAAAGGGAAGCGCUUGCAAUCAGACUUGUCUUUAACCGUUCGGCCGGUCUUCUGACCGGUUUACUCGGUAAUCGACAGGCCAGCAUCAGUUUCGGCGGUCGGAUAAAGGCCUUGGGAAUGUGGCUCUGCCUUCGGGUAGAGUGUUAUAGCCCAGGGUGUAAUACGGCCAGCCGGGACUGAGGUCCGCGAUUCGUCUAGGAUGCUG